rnacentral:rRNA from 1 species
ACGACGCUGGCGGCGUGCUUAAAACAUGCAAGUCGAACGGACUUCUCAUGAAGCUUGCGAUUGAGAAGUUAGUGGCGGACGGGUGAGUAACGCGUGGGCAACCUGCCCCUGAGCCCGGGAUAACAGUUCGAAAGGACUGCUAAGACCGGAUAUACUUGCGGUGAAGCAUUUCACUGCAAGGAAAGGGAACGCUCAGGGAUGGGCCCGCGUCCCAUUAGCUAGUUGGUGAGGUAACGGCCCACCAAGGCGACGAUGGGUAGCCGGCCUGAGAGGGUGAACGGCCACACUGGGACUGAGACACGGCCCAGACUCCUACGGGAGGCAGCAGUUGGGAAUCUUCGGCAAUGGGCGCAAGCCUGACCGAGCAACGCCGCGUGAGUGAUGAAGGUUUUCGGAUUGUAAAGCUCUGUCUUCCGGGACGAUAAUGACGGUACCGGAGGAGGAAGCCACGGCUAACUACGUG